rnacentral:rRNA from 1 species
ACGGGUGAGUAAUGCCUAGGAAUCUGCCUGGUAGUGGGGGACAACGUUUCGAAAGGAACGCUAAUACCGCAUACGUCCUACGGGAGAAAGCAGGGGACCUUCGGGCCUUGCGCUAUCAGAUGAGCCUAGGUCGGAUUAGCUAGUUGGUGAGGUAAUGGCUCACCAAGGCGACGAUCCGUAACUGGUCUGAGAGGAUGAUCAGUCACACUGGAACUGAGACACGGUCCAGACUCCUACGGGAGGCAGCAGUGGGGAAUAUUGGACAAUGGGCGAAAGCCUGAUCCAGCCAUGCCGCGUGUGUGAAGAAGGUCUUCGGAUUGUAAAGCACUUUAAGUUGGGAGGAAGGGCAGUAAGUUAAUACCUUGCUGUUUUGACGUUACCGACAGAAUAAGCACCGGCUAACUCUGUGCCAGCAGCCGCGGUAAUACAGAGGGUGCAAGCGUUAAUCGGAAUUACUGGGCGUAAAGCGCGCGUAGGUGGUUCGUUAAGUUGGAUGUGAAAGCCCCGGGCUCAACCUGGGAACUGCAUCCAAAACUGGCGAGCUAGAGUAUGGUAGAGGGUGGUGGAAUUUCCUGUGUAGCGGUG